rnacentral:rRNA from 1 species
UCAGGAUGAACGCUAGCUACAGGCUUAACACAUGCAAGUCGAGGGGCAGCAUUGGAGUAGCAAUACUCAGAUGGCGACCGGCGCACGGGUGAGUAACACGUAUCCAACCUGCCGCUUACUCGGGGAUAGCCUUUCGAAAGAAAGAUUAAUACCCGAUGGUAUAAAGAGUUCGCAUGUUCUCUUUAUUAAAGAAUUUCGGUAAGCGAUGGGGAUGCGUUCCAUUAGAUUGUUGGCGGGGUAACGGCCCACCAAGUCUACGAUGGAUAGGGGUUCUGAGAGGAAGGUCCCCCACAUUGGAACUGAGACACGGUCCAAACUCCUACGGGAGGCAGCAGUGAGGAAUAUUGGUCAAUGGACGAGAGUCUGAACCAGCCAAGUAGCGUGAAGGAUGACUGCCCUAUGGGUUGUAAACUUCUUUUAUAAGGGAAUAAAGUGAGGGACGUGUCCCUUUUUGUAUGUACCUUAUGAAUAAGGAUCGGCUAACUCCGUGCCAGCAGCAGC